UGCAGUCGAGCGGUAAGGCCCUUCGGGGUACACGAGCGGCGAACGGGUGAGUAACACGUGAGCAACCUGCCCCUGACUCCGGGAUAAGCGGUGGAAACGCCGUCUAAUACCGGAUACGACACGCCACCUCAUGGUGGCGGGUGGAAAGUUUUAUCGGUCAGGGAUGGGCUCGCGGCCUAUCAGCUUGUUGGUGGGGUAACGGCCUACCAAGGCGAUUACGGGUAGCCGGCCUGAGAGGGCGACCGGCCACACUGGGACUGAGACACGGCCCAGACUCCUGCGGGAGGCAGCAGUGGGGAAUAUUGCGCAAUGGGCGAAAGCCUGACGCAGCGACGCCGCGUGGGGGAUGACGGCCUUCGGGUUGUAAACCUCUUUUACCACCAACGCAGGCUCCCGGUUCUCCGGGGGUUGACGGUAGGUGGGGAAUAAGGACCGGCUAACUACGUGCCAGCAGCCGCGGUAAUACGUAGGGUCCGAGCGUUGUCCGGAAUUAUUGGGCGUAAAGAGCUCGUAGGCGGCGUGUCGCGUCUGCUGUGAAAGACCGGGGCUUAACUCCGGUUCUGCAGUGGAUACGGGCAUGCUAGAGGUAGGUAGGGGAGACUGGAAUUCCUGGUGUAGCGGUGAAAUGCGCAGAUAUCAGGAGGAACACCCGGUGGCGAAGGCGGCUCUCUGGGCCUUACCUGACGCUGAGGAGCGAAAAGCAUGGGGAGCGAAACAGGAUUAAAUACCCUGGUAGUCCAUGCCGUAAACGUUGGG
rnacentral:rRNA from 1 species